rfam:Brachypodium distachyon strain Bd21 chromosome 1, whole genome shotgun sequence.
UAGCUUUGUCCUGAGUCAAACUUCUUAAAGUUUGACCAAGCUUAGAGAAAAUCUACCAACAACUACAGCUCUAAAUUAGUUAUUAAAUCCGGCAUGAUAUAUAUUUUCAUAGCGUACUUAUUUGACAUUGUAGAUGUUAGUACACUUUUCUAUAUAAACUCGGUCAAACCUUAAGAAGUUUGACUUAGGACAAACCGAA